UGCCACUGCACUACACACAUUCUAGC
rnacentral:misc_RNA from 1 species